UACCAGCACCCCGAGUGGUCGGGACGUUUAUUGGGCCUAAAGCAUCCGUAGCCGGUUCUACAAGUCUUCCGUUAAAUCCACCUGCUUAACAGAUGGGCUGCGGAAGAUACUAUAGAGCUAGGAGGCGGGAGAGGCAAGCGGUACUCGAUGGGUAGGGGUAAAAUCCGUUGAUCCAUUGAAGACCACCAGUGGCGAAGGCGGCUUGCCAGAACGCGCUUGACGGUGAGGGAUGAAAGCUGGGGGAGCAAACAGG
rnacentral:rRNA from 1 species